GAAAAUCAGGUGUCAGUCAGGUUCGUGCCUUCUGCCGGCUCUGAGGGAGAAACCAUCCCUGCGUCUCCUCACUCCUGGUGGCUGCUGAACAACAACAAAAUGAAGAAUGGCCCUUCCUCCUCUGGAAGUUUGAGAACCAAGGCUUGAGGGUGACGGGCUUCAAUCAUGACAGGAGGGAUCUGUCAGGAAUCCGAACAGCAUCUGCGUGUAGACUGGGCACAUUCAUGGUGUAUGGCAUCAGGUUUUCCUCAGACCCAGGCGACAGUGACAGAAACCAAAUGGCAUUUCUUCACUGCCUUUGAAACAGCCGGAAAUCCAGCCCUCCCCAUCAUCCCAGACCUCCUGACCAGUUGAGGGAGAACCCAGGAGAAAGGUGUGUAUGAGGGUUAGUUUUAUGUGUCACCUUGGCUAGGCCAUGGUAUCCAGAUAUUCGUUUAAACACCAGUCUAGAUGGUGCUGUGUGGGUAUUUUUAGAUCGUAUCAACAUUUAAUUCAGUAGAUUUUGAGUAAAGGACAUUAAUCUCCAUGAUGUGGUGGGCCUUGUCCAAUCAGUUGAAGGCUCUAAGAGUAAACAGACUGAGGUCCUGUGAAGAAGAAGGAAUUCUGCCAGCCGACUACCUCUGGACUUGAACUGCAACAUCAACUCUACUCUGGGUCUCCAGACUGCUAGCCUACCCUGCAGGCUUUGGACUUGCCAGCCUCCCACAAUUGGGUGGAUCAAUUCCUUGAAACAAAUCUCUUUGUAUAUAUCUCCAUGCACAUCCCAUUGGUUCUGUGUCUCUGGAGAGCCUGACGAACGCAGUGAGCCCUGGGCGGCCUCGGUGUCCUACCGCAGGCAUUUGCACGUGCUCUUCCGGCUGUGACGUGACAGCUACCCAACCCCGUUUCUUGUGGCUGCUUUUGUUUCCCCUGCCGUCCCAUAUGUGUGCAGCCUGCGGGCUGGUCCUGCGGGAUGGACAGAUCAUUCUCACAUGUGCUGCUGUUCUCUCUCGUGUCUCUCUGUCCC